GAUGAACGCUAGCGGGAGGCCUAACACAUGCAAGCCGAGCGGUAUUUGUUCUUCGGAACAGAGAGAGCGGCGCACGGGUGCGGAACACGUGUGCAACCUGCCUUUAUCUGGGGGAUAGCCUUUCGAAAGGAAGAUUAAUACCCCAUAAUAUAUUGAGUGGCAUCAUUUGAUAUUGAAAACUCCGGUGGAUAGAGAUGGGCACGCGCAAGAUUAGAUAGUUGGUGAGGUAACGGCUCACCAAGUCAAUGAUCUUUAGGGGGCCUGAGAGGGUGAUCCCCCACACUGGUACUGAGACACGGACCAGACUCCUACGGGAGGCAGCAGUGAGGAAUAUUGGACAAUGGGUUAGCGCCUGCUCCAGCCAUCCCGCGUGAAGGACGACGGCCCUAUGGGUUGUAACCUUCUUUUGAAUAGGGAUAAACCUACUCUCGUGAGAGUAGCUGAAGGUACUAUACGAAUAAGCACCGGCUAACUCCGUG
rnacentral:rRNA from 1 species